GGACUCAGCCGUACCACCCUGAACACGCCCUGUCUCACCUGAUCUCCGAAGCUAAGCAGGGUCGGGCCUGGUUAGUCCUUGGAUGGGAGGAGAUCCGGAAACUGCUUCCG
rnacentral:rRNA from 1 species